rnacentral:rRNA from 1 species
UACGAAGGGUGCAAACGUUUGCUCGGAAUCAUUGGGCGUAAAGCGCACGUAGGCGGCCUCGAAAGUCGGAUGUGAAAUCCCCUCGGCUCAACCGGGGAACUGCGUCCGAUACUGGCGGGCUUGAAUUCGGGAGAGGGAUGUGGAAUUCCAGGUGUAGCGGUGAAAUGCGUAGAUAUCUGGAGGAACACCGGUGGCGAAGGCGGCAUCCUGGACCGACAUUGACGCUGAGGCGCGAAAGCCAGGGGAGCAAACGGG